UACGAAGGGUGCAAGCGUUACUCGGAAUUACUGGGCGUAAAGGGUGCGUAGGUGGUUUUUUAAGUCUGCUGUGAAAUCCCCGGGCUCAACCUGGGAAUGGCAGUGGAUACUGGAAAGCUAGAGUGCGGUAGAGGGUAGUGGAAUUCCCGGUGUAGCAGUGAAAUGCGUAGAGAUCGGGAGGAACACCAGUGGCGAAGGCGGCUACCUGGACCAGCACUGACACUGAAGCACGAAAGCGUGGGGAGCAAACAGG
rnacentral:rRNA from 1 species